rnacentral:rRNA from 1 species
UACGGAGGGUGCAAGCGUUAUCCGGAUUCACUGGGUUUAAAGGGUGCGUAGGCGGCCGGGUAAGUCAGUGGUGAAAUCUCUGGGCUUAACUCAGAAACUGCCGUUGAUACUAUUUGUCUUGAAUGUCAUGGAGGUAAGCGGAAUAUGUCAUGUAGCGGUGAAAUGCUUAGAUAUGACAUAGAACACCGAUAGCGAAGGCAGCUUACUACAUGAAGAUUGACGCUGAGGCACGAAAGCGUGGGGAGCAAACAGG